GGUGGAGCAGAUCAGACCUGGGGGAAUUUCACCAGAAUAUCAUAUAGUGAUGAAAUGAGCGCCGCCGAUUGAUCGCCAGUAAGGUAUUGGGUGCAGAAUCACGUCGAAAACUUGUUUUUAUACAUUUUAGUACAUAAAAUAAGAAAAUGUAAAAAAGAAAAAAAAAGACCAGGCCGUUUCAGCAAAUCAGCCAAAGAUGCUUAAAUAUGACACAACAGAAAGCCAUCAGCUUCUGAACACGUCAGCCAGACAACACAUCCUCUGUAUUCUGAACAGAGGGCAUAGAGGAAUAAGCCAGCAGAAAGGCUAUGUAUACCAUACCUUCAAUACCUACCAGAGAUAUUUAUUUUUGUCAGUAAGAAAUAAGCAUAAGGCGAUCCUGGCAGACCACACUGAGCCCGAAUUAUUACGUCUGGAUUCCUACAUUUGGCAAGAAAAGGGUCAGCAGUAGAGAUUGACACGUUUACCGCAGGGCUCGGUGACUGGCCCAUCUGAGUAUAGUGACUAGCUGAAGAUGGUAUUAGACCAGUGGACUUCUGGCAAUAGUGAUGUCUCCAGGGCUCAAUGACUGGCCCAUUUGAGUAUAGUGACUAGCUGAAGCUAGUAUUAGACCAGUGGAUGUCUGACAAUAGUGAUGUCUUCCUCCUACAGUGUGUCAAUAACCUGUUGAUCUGUUGUCCAGACUGAUCAACUUGUUAUUGUCAUACUGUGUCUCUGAUAAAUCUCCUAGAAUCAACAGGAAAUAUGGCUAGCAAGGAUAAAUAACAAUUUUGUAAUCAUAAGGUUACCUUCCUGGGACAUUGCAUAUGGCAGGGCAGUCAAUAUUUGACGGCCAAGAGGGUACAAGCUUUGAAGGAUUUCCUAGGCCGCAAAACUCCCAUAAAAAGAGAGCUAUUCUGGGGUAAAUAAAUUAUUGUAGAGAACAGGUACCAAACAUUCCCACAACCCUAGGUCCUCUGUAUGAGAAAGCUUCCACAACACCUUUUACUUUGACAGAUGAUGACUGGCUGACAAUACACACACACUGGUUCAAGAACUCUCUCAAGCCCCCGCCCUAGGCCUUCCCAACUAUGAGAUGCCCUUCUUCCUAUUCUGCUACAAGAGCAAAGGGCAUGACACAGGGAUCUUUACUCAACACCAUGGAGCUAGAUUCAAAUUAUGUAUCCUUCUAAGGCUCUGGGCCCUGUAAUCAGGGAUCACCAUGACGUGUUCGUGCCGUAGCCGCCUGUGCACUUUUACUACAAAAGGUUGGCGAUAAAGGUUUACACUCUAUUCAUGCCCCACUGGAUCCAGGAGAUCUUGAACCAGAUACAAACUAAACAUCUUUCAGUAGCUCAUCUGCUAAAGUACAAGGUGGUCCCCUUAUCCUAUACCGGGCAUCUCUUCUUCCUUUUGAGGAGGAAGAAAAGGGGGGAAAAGGUGAUAUAGGGACACAAGACCACAGACAAAGCAGUCUACAGAUGAUAAGCAUGACUGUCUGGCAAUAAAUCCUGUAAAGGAAGCUCCCAUCCCUUCUUUGCUGGCCAAGUUUUUGCAGAAGUGUGCACUUAAUUAACCAAGGUUUACACACCCUAUACCACCCCCAGAAUAGCGACAAUGUUGAAAACUUAAAUGGGAAAUUUUAAAACAAAAUAGUUAAGAUAACGGAAAACAUGAGUAAUUUUUGGCCAGAAUGUCUUCCGAAUACUCUUAAUCCAGUAAGAAAUGCUCCUUAAUGUCCCCAUAGUUUGUCCCUGUACAAAAUUUUGUUUGUGAAUAGGCGUAAGACAUAGUUACAUAGUUCAAAGACUAUCGAGUCCAUCAAGUUCAACCGUCAUCCCUUUUGUUCCCCUACUGAGUUGAUACAUAGGAAGGGAAAAAAAAUCCUUAAAAAGCUGAUGCCAAUUGCUACAUACUAGGAAAUAAAAUCCCUUCCUGAUUCCAAAUAGCAUCAGAAUAAAUCUCUGGAUGAAUGUUCUUACCCAUCUAGUAUCCAUGACCUGUAAUAUUAUUAUGUCUAGAAAUGUAUCCAGGCCAUUUUCUGACUCAUUUAUUGAUUUACCAUGACCACUUCUGGCAGAGAGUUCCACAGUCUCACUGCUCUUACAGUAAAGAACCCCCGUCUGUUCUGGUGUAGAAACCUUAUUUCUUCAAGACAUAGAGGAUGUCCCCUUGUUAUAGAUACAGUUCUGGGUAUAAUAAAUAGUUCAUGGGAGAGAUAUCUGUACUGUCCCCUAAUAUAUUUAUACAUAGUUAUUAGGUCUCCCCUAAGACAGAACUGUACUGCUGACUGAGUAUAUGCAGUCCCUACAUCCACAAUCGUGUCCAUGUAUCUAUCCUUGACCUAGAUUCAAUAACUGGUUUAAAUUCCAUCCAGCUAGGUGAUUGGGUCAUAAUUAAAAAGUUCAAACAGAAGGGGGUAGAAGCUGCACUGGUCCUUUCCAAGUGCUGAUACAACGCAACGUCUUUAAAGAUUGAGGACAAGGACACCUGGAUCCACGCUGGCCACUGCAAGAAGCUGCUGAAAUACACGGGGAAACAGGUCUAAGUAUCAGUGUCGGCUACUGUCUUGCCUUUUCCACCCCAGGUUUGUGCAUGAGUGACCAUCAUUAUCUGUUGUUCAGAAUAAAUGUGCAGUUGGCUAAAGCCGCCAAUCGUACCAACUGUUGGGUGUGUUCCAUCCCGCCACUAGUCAGAGCACAUCGACCAUGGCUGCCAUCUAUGCUGUAUAUAGUUUUUGGUUGUCCAUGGGAAUAUGUAGGGACCUAACAAUUGAAACCCAACAGCACAUUUCUGGAUGACAGAAUGGGUAGGGGGUCUGUAUAACUUCAGUCAUGACCAUAACUCAUGCAUAACCCUCAGCAAGGGUUUUCCAGAAGUCUGAGUGAUCCGCAGGUGUGUUUUUAUUUCAGCUUUGGAGUCAAUGACUUGGAAAUCCCAAUGUGUAAGAAUGUUUUCAAAGUCAGCUUAGCAAAGCAUUAGGCGUCUUUAGAGAUUGGUCCAUUGGUGAUUGGUUGAAGCGGGUUGGAGUAUAUAUAUAUAUAUAUAUAUAUAUAUAUAUAUAAAAAUACUAUUCUUUUCUAUCCUAAUUUUAUAUGUACUUGCCCAAUGUUCCUGUGGCUUGAUGGAGAGAAUUGCCAGGAUCAAGCAACAAAUCAGACCAUGAUAUCAAGAACAAUGUACUAUGAAGCUCAAGACUAAUCAACUAUGAAGAUCAAGCCAUCGUAUCGCAAAUUUGAAGCCGAAAGUUCCAAGCAGGAAAAUCAACAUCCUCUUAAUUUGGACUAUUUUAUUACAUUUCUUAUCGGACUAUUUUAUUACAUUUCUGGACUUCCUGGUGGGAAUGGUCCUUGGGUUGGUCUUCAUUGGUGGGACUUGACUUGGCCUAUCUAGUUCUUCUUACCUCUUGGUAAUAUACCACUAGGAAGAAAUAUGUCAAAAAGGGAGGAACUGUUGUGGAAAUAUUAAGUUGUCACACUGCCUUCAUGGUGGCUUCACACAGUGCGAUAUGGCACAGAUUCAUGUGUUGUCAACUGACAACCAUAGCUGCAGAUGUGUUGGUUAUUGAUGGCACAUGGUGUGUCAUAUCUUCUGUAGGCUGAAUUGUAACCUUGUAACCUAAUGCUGAUUGUAUGUAUGGGUGUGGCUUUGUAAGGUAUAUGUGGGAGUGGCUUUGUAAACCCUCCCUUUUGUUAGCAAUAAAUAAACAUAACCCCCACUAGCAAGGGGGAUUCUUCCUGAACCUGGUGGGAGAACCGCGUUGCUGGAUCAAAAUAUGUUGUUUGUGCUUCUUCAACUAUGGCGAAUUCGCUAUCCUGGCAGACCACACUGAGCCCUAAUUAUUACGUCUGCAUUCCUAAAACAGGAAGACACACCAUACAACACUGUAUAUAUUGUCCAGCCAAUGAGGAUGAGACAUAUACAAUACUGUAUACACUGACCAGGCCACUGAAGAUGACUGUAUUCAAUGCCCAGGCCACUGUGGUUGA